UAAAUAGGUCUUAAAAAGAAUUUAACAACUUGCUUGUACUUUUUCUCUGAAACUGUAAAAACAUAUAAAUAAGUUAGCUCUGAAAAAUAUUUUAAGAUAUAAAACAUCUUAAAUUCUCAGCAGUAGUUACAGGGAAAUUCUCAUGUAACUUAUUUACAUAUAUAAUGCAUAUAUUUUCAUGACUUAAAAUUUGAAAGUAAUACAAUGUACAGACUUUAAAAAUGCCAAAAAAAAAAUUUUAUCAGGAAAUCAACAAAAAGUUUAAGAAUAAGCAUUAAAAAACCUGUUAAUUUUCUUACACUACCCCUUCCCUAGAGUGUUAACACUGUGAACAGAUUUCUAAAUGGGAUCAUAUUAAUAAAUGUGAUACUGCAUUUCUUCAAUGUGCUUUUUAGAAAUGUUAGAAAAAUAUCACAACUUACUUCCACAUUAGUACACAGGAAGUAAUAGUGUGAAGUAUAAAGUAAAAAUCCCUGACCUCACUACCCACCUGCUUUCCAAGAUACUGUAGUUGUUUACAUUUUUAUAUCCUUCCAGAAAUUUUCUAUGCCCAUCAACAUUUGUAUCUACAUCUAUAUCUAUACCUCUAUAUAUU
rnacentral:lncRNA from 1 species